rnacentral:sRNA from 20 species
GACGAACACGACCAUUCUCGUAAUCGUACGAAGGCGCACACGACCGGCAGCGUAGCUGCCAGGCGAAUGCCACGUGUGCGCGAAGACAGGGGCCCUCCAGAGGCCCUUUUUUUAUGCUUGCA